UACGUAGGGGGCAAGCGUUGUCCGGAUUUAUUGGGCGUAAAGAGCGUGUAGGCGGCCGCACAGGUCCGUUGUGAAAACUGGAGGCUUAACCUCCAGACGUCGAUGGAAACCGUGCGGCUAGAGUCCGGAAGAGGAGAAUGGAAUUCCUGGUGUAGCGGUGGAAUGCGCAGAUAUCAGGAAGAACACCAACGGCGAAGGCAGCUCGCUGGGACGGUACUGACGCUGAGACGCGAAAGCGUGGGGAGCGAACAGG
rnacentral:rRNA from 1 species